rnacentral:ncRNA from 2 species
AAAUAAUAGCGAAUUCAAGGUGCCGAUUAUGAAUAUCGGAGAAUAGGGAAGCUUAGAAAGCACGGACCCACCACUGUGAACAGGGACGAAGUCUUAAUAACCACUGAGCAUAAGCUUGGGAAGGUGAGAAUAGGAUGAACUGUUAGUCAGGAGACCUGCCUUGAUGUGAGAAAAAGG